GUGAAGGGUCCUUGGCGUUCAUGGCCAGUCAGCCUCGCAGAACUGCUAAGCCUCAAGCCCCAGCAAAAGACUGUCUUGAAAACUAUGGUGGUCAGAGCCUGAAGACAACACCGAGGAUUUGAACACUAUUUCAAAUGGAGGCACUAAAGGAGGAUGCAGAGCUGAAAAGUCUAGAGGUUGUGAGAAGAUUUCUCUGUGGCCAGAAGUUCUGAGGCUGGCUAAGACAUGGAUAUACAGAUGAGUACUUCCCUGAAGAUGAGAAAUCCAUAAGCCUGUGGUCCUGAGACCUCAUGAGAUCACAACAGUGAGAUGGGGUCUCCUGUGUCGCUUAAGCUGGUCUAGAGUUCUCCAAUUUCCUGCCUCAGCUUCCUGAUGAGUGAGAUUUCAAGUGCACAUUUCGCAGGGACACCGGGUGCCUGGCCAUUUCAGGGGUGUCUAACCAAUUGGAUUAGCAACAUCUUUAGGA